AUUGAACGCUGGCGGCAUGCCUUACACAUGCAAGUCGAACGGUAACAGGUCUUCGGAUGCUGACGAGUGGCGAACGGGUGAGUAAUACAUCGGAACGUGCCUAGUAGUGGGGGAUAACUACUCGAAAGAGUGGCUAAUACCGCAUGAGAUCUACGGAUGAAAGCAGGGGAUCGCAAGAACUUGUGCUACUAGAGCGGCCGAUGGCGGAUAAGGUAGUUGGUGGGAUAAAAGCUUACCAAGCCGACGAUCUGUGGCUGGUCUGAGAGGACGAUCAGCCACACUGGGACUGCGACACGGCCCAGGCUCCUACGGGAGGCAGCAGUGGGGAAUUUUGGACAAUGGGAGCAAGCCUGAUCCAGCAAUGCCGCGUGCAGGAUGAAGGCCUUCGGGUUGUAAACUGCUUUUGUACGGAACGAAAAGUCCCGGGUUAAUACCCUGGGGUCAUGACGGUACCGUAAGAAUAAGCACCGGCUAACUACGUGCCAGCCGCCGCGGUAA
rnacentral:rRNA from 1 species